GGCCCCGUGGCCUAAUGGCAAGGCGUCAGUUUUCGGUAUUCAACUCUAAUCCGAGUUGAAUGUCAUCCACUGAAGAUUGCGAGUUCGAUCCUCGUCGAGGUCA